CCCGCCUUUGCAUAGUAGUAGUGCGCUCGGCUGUAGACCGAGAGGUCCCCGGUGCAAAUCCGGGAGGCGGGA
rnacentral:tRNA from 2 species